UGCGGUUUAAUUGGACUCAACGCCGGGCAGCUCACCGGAUAAGACAGCUGGAUGAUAGCCGGGCUGAAGACUCUGCUUGACUAGCUGAGAGGAGGUGCAUGGCCGUCGUCAGUUCGUACUGUGAAGCAUCCUGUUAAGUCAGGCAACGAGCGAGACCCACGCCAACAGUUGCCAGCAUGUCCUCCGGGAUGAUGGGGACACUGUUGGGACCGCCUCUGCUAAAGAGGAGGAAGGAAUGGGCAACGGUAGGUCAGCAUGCCCCGAAUUAUCCGGGCUACACGCGGGCUACAAUGGUCAGGACAAUGGGUAUCGACACCGAGAGGUGGAGGCAAUCUCCUAAACCUGUCCUUAGUUCGGAUUGUGGGCUGCAACUCGCCCACAUGAAGCUGGAAUCCGUAGUAAUCGCGUUUCAAAAUAGCGCGGUGAAUAUGUCCCUGCUCCUU
rnacentral:rRNA from 1 species